UCUUUCCUCCCGAGUGCUUGCACUCAAUUGGAAAGAGGAGUGGCGGACGGGUGAGUAACACGUGGGUAACCUACCCAUCAGAGGGGGAUAACACUUGGAAACAGGUGCUAAUACCGCAUAACAGUUUAUGCCGCAUGGCAUAAGAGUGAAAGGCGCUUUCGGGUGUCGCUGAUGGAUGGACCCGCGGUGCAUUAGCUAGUUGGUAAGGUAAAGGCUUACCAAGGCGAUGAUGCAUAGCCGAGUUGAGAGACUGAUCGGCCACAUUGGGACUGAGACACGGCCCAAACUCCUGCGGGAGGCAGCAGUAGGGAAUCUUCCACAAUGGACGCAAGUCUGAUGGAGCAACGCCGCGUGAGUGAAGAAGGUUUUCGGAUCGUAAAGCUCUGUUGUUGGUGAA
rnacentral:rRNA from 1 species